UAUGAAAAAAGCAAAAAGAACUGAUCCUCUGCAUAUGUUGAUCAGGUCCUUCUGAAUCCAAUUGUCAUAGCUCGACAACAGUUUGAAAGGCAGACUUGGAAACACUCACACUUCCCUUUCCUUUGUCUAUGCUUGGUCUGUCAUGGAAGUAAAAUUGCAGAAUAGCCCAUCAUGAUUGGGGUGAGUUUAUAAGAUUUCGCCGGAUUGGCUGCACAUUGGAGAAGACUAUGGGUAUUCAUUUCAAAAUCUCACCAGGUACUAGCUGAAUGUAAGGUUGCUGUCAAGAGGAAUUUGUUGAGAGGAUCAUGGCUGCAUGCAAGCAAGCUGAUAUUUUGUUGUUAGAUGCUUAGAUGCUUGAAAUACUAGUAUGAUGUCAAGCGUUCAUAAGUUUUGGGGACCUGAUGUAGUCUCAGGCUGUAACUCUAUGUGUUUGUAAAUUUUUUUUGUGAAUAUCUAUCGGUUAUAUGUUGCACAUUUGACUUCAUAU